rnacentral:rRNA from 1 species
UACGAAGGGGGCUAGCGUUGCUCGGAAUUACUGGGCGUAAAGCGCACGUAGGCGGUCUUUUAAGUCGGGGGGUGAAAUCCUGGAGCUCAACUCCAGAACUGCCUUCGAUACUGGAGAGCUUGAGUCCGGGAGAGGUGAGUGGAACUGCGAGUGUAGAGGUGAAAUUCGUAGAUAUUCGCAAGAACACCAGUGGCGAAGGCGACUCACUGGACACGUAUUGACGCUGAGGAGCGAAAGCGUGGGGAGCGAACAGG